UACGGAGGGUGCAAGCGUUAUCCGGAUUCACUGGGUUUAAAGGGUGCGUAGGUGGGUUGGUAAGUCAGUGGUGAAAUCUCCGUGCUUAACAUGGAACUGCCAUUGAUACUAUUUGUCUUGAAUACUUUGGAGGUAAGCGGAAUAUGUCAUGUAGCGGUGAAAUGCUUAGAUAUGACAUAUAACACCAAUUGCGAAGGCAGCUCACUACGCGAAUAUUGACACUGAGGCACGAAAGCGUGGGGAUCAAACAGG
rnacentral:rRNA from 1 species